rnacentral:rRNA from 1 species
UAUGGGUUGUAAACUUCUUUUGUAUAGGGAUAAACCUUUCCACGUGUGGAAAGCUGAAGGUACUAUACGAAUAAGCACCGGCUAACUCCGUGCCAGCAGCCGCGGUAAUACGGAGGGUGCAAGCGUUAUCCGGAUUUAUUGGGUUUAAAGGGUCCGUAGGCGGAUCUGUAAGUCAGUGGUGAAAUCUCAUAGCUUAACUAUGAAACUGCCAUUGAUACUGCAGGUCUUGAGUAAAGUAGAAGUGGCUGGAAUAAGUAGUGUAGCGGUGAAAUGCAUAGAUAUUACUUAGAACACCAAUUGCGAAGGCAGGUCACUAUGUUUUAACUGACGCUGAUGGACGAAAGCGUGGGGAGCGAACAGGAUUAGAUACCCUGGUAGUCCACGCCGUAAACGAUGCUAACUCGUUUUUGGGCUUUCGGGUUCAGAGACUAAGCGAAAGUGAUAAGUUAGCCACCUGGGGAGUACGUUCGCAAGAAUGAAACUCAAAGGAAUUGACGGGGGCCCGCACAAGCGGUGGAUUAUGUGGUUUAAUUCGAUGAUACGCGAGGAACCUUACCAAGGCUUAAAUGGGAAUUGACAGGUUUAGAAAUAGACUUUUCUUCGGACAAUUUUCAAGGUGCUGCAUGGUUGUCGUCAGCUCGUGCCGUGAGGUGUUAGGUUAAGUCCUGCAACGAGCGCAACCCCUGUCACUAGUUGCCAUCAUUCAGUUGGGGACUCUAGUGAGACUGCCUACGCAAGUAGAGAGGAAGGUGGGGAUGACGUCAAAUCAUCACGGCCCUUACGCCUUGGGCCACACACGUAAUACAAUGGCCGGUACAGAGGGCAGCUACCUAGCGAUAGGAUGCGAAUCUCGAAAGCCGGUCUCAGUUCGGAUUGGAGUCUGCAACUCGACUCUAUGAAGCUGGAAUCGCUAGUAAUCGCGCAUCAGCCAUGGCGCGGUGAAUACGUUCCCGGGCCUUGUACACACCGCCCGUCAAGCCAUGGAAGUUUGGGGUACCUGAAGU